UACGUAGGGUGCAAGCGUUAUCCGGAAUUAUUGGGCGUAAAGAGCUCGUAGGCGGUUUGUCGCGUCUGCUGUGAAAACCCGAGGCUCAACCUCGGGCCUGCAGUGGGUACGGGCAGACUAGAAUGCGGUAGGGGAGAUUGGAAUUCCUGGUGUAGCGGUGGAAUGCGCAGAUAUCAGGAGGAACACCGAUGGCGAAGGCAGAUCUCUGGGCCGUAACUGACGCUGAGGAGCGAAAGCGUGGGGAGCGAACAGG
rnacentral:rRNA from 1 species